UUUUUUAUAAAUAAGUCUUUAUCGGUGUUCUUGGAUUCUUCAUUGAAUCUCUUUUUAUUCUGAUUUCUCAUGGGGAAGGUAACUGUGCUGCAUAUCGGAGAUGAUGAGUCUCCGUUUCAAGGGAUGGACAUGACAGGAUUCAUCAUCGUCUUGGCUAUUCUAAUUCUUCUCUUCCAACUAUGUGCACCGAACCCAUCAAGGCGCAAACCAAGAACCUUCUUGGUCCGCCGAAGGAUGUGGUGAAUAUAGACGGACUGUCAAUUGUAGACGGAUGGUGUUACGGAUUUCAGAAUAAGAAAAGUAAGUAGUUAGGUAGUAACUAUGAGAGGUGUAAUCUGUAUUCAAUUGAAAUACUAUUUUCAUAUUUCUUAAGUGUGAUUUUUAGAUUUUGGGGGUUUAUAUUCUAUUCUACUUAUAUUGCAGUUUAUAAUGGGAAAUUGGGAAUAAAUGAAUAAUUUAUGGGAUUUUUUUUAAUGUAUGCUAAAAUUAGAUAAUAGAUGCCAUGAUAGGAUCAUCAAAAGCCUCAAAUCUGAUGAUCAUGAUACACAAUCAAUAGAUCAUAAUUUAUACACAUUAAAGUUCUGAAUAUGAAGAUCAAAAUUUAAUCAAUAUAUAUCUUUUUUUUAUAUAUAAUCAAAGGUAUUUUUUUACAAUUAUAGAAAACUUCGACAGUCACAUAAUAUAUCAUAAUAUCAUUGUAGUAAAAUUUAAAAAAAAUAGGUCGAUACUUAUCUCCUUAAUAAUAUAAAUCUUUAUAAACCUUAAUAGUUACCAUGAGUAAUUAAACUAAUCUCCUUAUAUUAUUUAAUGUAGAUCUCACAUCAGAUAAGUUGAGUUUGAAUUAUAAAAGACUUAACGAUUAAAAGGUCGAUUUAGCCUAACAGUAGAAACAUUGCAGUCAUUUCAGACUGUCAAAUUCAGACAAGGAUAUUUUGACUUGGAAACAUUCAAAGUAAACGAGUAAUCUUGAUUCGGCCCACUCUCUUGUUGCGCGUAUGAAAAUAAGCUUCUCCAUUUUAACUUUAUGAAGGUUGCAAGCUCAUUCAAUAAAAUGCGGAUAAUCUUAUGAUGGAAGGUAUUUUUAUAAAUAAAUUUAUCAAUACUUUGAAUUUUUCAACUAUCAAAGGUUUAAAAGUUGAUAUACAAAGUAAAAUUUUAAUUACACAGAAAGAUUAGCUCAAUAGUCUACAAUAACUAUUAAGGUUUUUGAUAAUUUAAUAUUUUAAUUUAGUUGUAUAUGCAACUGAUAAUUUAGUUCACAAUUGAUAAUUCAAGAUUCUAGUGUGUUACAAAGUUAUUUAAAUGAAAUGGAAACUACAAUUAACAACUAACUAAUCAUUGUUUAUUGCAAUCAACUAUGAUUAAAGCAAUGACAAUUAUUUCUUCUAAUACCCCCUCCUAAUUGUUGUAGCUUGUAGAAUUAUCAGAAUUAUUGUGAAAAUUAUCUUACAAGUCCUUGUAAAACAUAUAUAUCCUAUCACUUAAUAGCUAACAACAUCAUUUCAAAUAUACACCUACUUCCUAAUACAUUACUCCCUAAUAUACACAUUUCCUAAUCCAAUUUAUUACCAUAAUUAAUCACACCUACCAAACCCACCUAAACCCUCAUAGCCGUUGGGUCCUUACCUCCAUAAAUAUGAACUAUUACAACUCAAUCUCUAGGUUUUGGAUUCAAGUUCUUGGUCCUAAAUCACCAUCUUAAUCUUCUCCAAUCUGUUCUCUGAAAUCUGCAAUCGGUCAUCUGGAAUUCAAAUCAUCUAGUCAAGCUUGUUCUUCAUCUAGAGAUCAUUCAUCCGAUCUAUUAAUCGUCUUCAUCAUCUCCAGCAUCUCAUUCCUGCAAUCGUUCAAUCUUCACAAAUCUGUAUUGUCAUUUACUUUCAAUAAAACAUAUUGUCAUCAUAUAUAAAUAUCUCAUCGCUUGGAUAAUCACAUUUGAUGAUAAUACAUCAUAGUCAUACAUUUCUAACAUGGUAUCAGAGCAGUAAAAGAUCUUGCUAAUCAUACAACAACAUUUUUUUCUUCCGAAAAGAUAAAAGUUUCCUUCCAUAAGUUAAUUUUUUUUACUUACUGAUCACAAGAUCAGCCUCCCUUUUCAGCUUCAUUAAGAGGAACAAUCCAUAAUCAGGAUCAAUCUCACCAUCCAUACGAUUAAGCUAUCUGCUGUGAUAACUGUUUAAUAUUGCCCAAACUCAUAGUAGAAGUAGAAUCACUCCAUACAUCAUCCAUACCAUCCAAGCUAGAUAGCAUCCAUAUCAACAGGACUUUUCACAUCAGAAAAGUUCAAAUCCUCAUCAGUCAUUUUUUCAGCUUUCACACCUGAAAAAGAAGGGAAAACAGAGGAUAUUCAUCAUAGUAUAAUACAUCCAUCACAUUUUUUUUUUCCACAAGUAAUCAGUAUUUCUUCUUUCAUUUCAAGUAUUUUUUGUUCACAAGUUGUCAAAAGGUUUCAGAAAAGUUAGUUUAAAANNNNNNNNNNNNNNNNNNNNNNNNNNNNNNNNNNNNNNNNNNNNNNNNNNNNNNNNNNNNNNNNNNNNNNNNNNNNNNNNNNNNNNNNNNNNNNNNNNNNAAUUGACUAAGGACUCAUCAUUAGACGAGAAGGAUACUCCCCAUCCCAAACUCCAAGGUCCAGAGCUUUUUCCUUAUAGUGAGCUCUCAACCUUGCCUUCAUCCUCCUACGCCUCAGCAUCCUCACACAGUCCUUUUCCUCACACUUAAAAAUACAGUAGUCUUCACUUUCCCUAGCCUUCUCAUCAUCACUAAGUCCAUAAACACCACCAGCUCCCUCAUCAACAUUCCAGUCUUCAUCAAAACCAUCAGGUUCUUCAUCAUCAGGAUCACUGUCAAGUGGCUGUGGUCCCUGAUCUGGAUCAUCAUCCACAAAAUCAGGAUUUUCAUUAUUCCUCAUAUACUCAACCCACCAGCUCCUAGGGGCCUCAAACACUCUUCCAGCCCAAGCUGCAUUUUUCCAAGCCACAGGAUCAAAAGGAGGUUGGUAAACAGGAAACUUUCUUGGCACCACCACAUGAUCGACACAUUCCAUAGCAGCACCACCUAUGUCCUGAUAUUUUCCAGCAUCAUUCUGAUCAUCUGCAUUUAUUUAUUUUUCAGAAACAAAAUGUCAAAUGGAAAUGUUAUCUCAACAUAUUCAGACAAUCUAGGAAUCCAGUUAGUACCAUUCAAGAUGGAUGGAAACAACUGGAACAUUUGGAGUGCACAGUUUGUUAUAGCUGUGGAAUCCAAAAACAAGGAGAAGUUCUUAACAGGUGAAAUACCCACUUCCGAACAAACAAAUGAGAAAGAAUACGAGAGAUGGAAAGCAACUGAUGCUCUAGUAAGGUCUUGGAUACUAAACGGACUGAGUCAAGAACUCUCUCCAGCUUUCAUCUUCUAUAAAUCAGCACAUCGCUAUGGAAGGAAUUGAAAGCAAGAUUCCACAUACAAAAUGGACCACUAGUUUUUCAGUUACAAGUAAAAAUCAUGAAUCUCACACAAGGAGAAGAUUCAGUCUGCAACUACUACACAAAACUGACAAAAUUAUGGAAUGAAUACGACAUGAGCAGAAAAAGUGUAGAAGUGAUACAAGAAGAAAGACUCAUAAAGUUCCUGAAUGGACUAAAUGAGACUUACAAACAGCUAAGCAGACAAAUAAUGCAAAUGGAUCCUCAGCCUGAUCUAAACAGAGCAUAUUCAAUGGUGACCCAAGAUGAACAAACAAAGGACAUGGAGACACUGAAAGAAUCAGCAACAGCACUACUGGCACAAGGACCUUACAGACCACCAAGGCCACAGAAUGAAAGACCCUACUGCACUGGCUGUAAAAGGCCAGGACACACAAUCAAUACAUGCUACCAAUUGCAUGGAUACCCUGCAGAAAGACCAGCAUAUGGGAAUAAUAAACAAAAUCCCAGACCAUCCUUCCAACCACAAUUCAAUCAACAAAGAAGACCACCUUUCAGACCAUCUGGACAACCAACUAGAGGCCACAACUAUCAAAGAGCAGAAAUUUCAACAACAAUUUCAGACCACAGACCAGGGCAUACAACAACUACUCUGAGGAAGUUGAAAACCAACAGUGGCAGGAAAAUGAAAACAACUACACAAUGGAAGAAAUAAACCAGGAAUAUUAUACAACUGAAAACGACAAUGGAUAUCAAAACAACAACGCUAGUCAACCUGAAUACCAGAGUGGGAAUCAAAACAUAAUGGAACAGCUAAGAUCUCUCCUUAACCAAAAUCAAAAUUAACAAGCAGAAGAUGAAAAACAUUCUGUACAUAUGGGCAGAGCACAAGCACAACCAGAAAUGAACCCAAACCAUACUGGUAAUUAAGCCCCAAGAAUCACUCUGUUUCAAUACAAAAACUAGGAACACCACUGACUGGAUAAUAGACAGUGGAGCCACAGAUCACAUGUGUGGACCAACCAUCACACUAAGUGAAAAAAGGGCAUUAGUAAAACCUAUUGUUGUAAACCUUCCAAACUCACAAAUAACAACUGUGAGAUACAUUGGGAAUUACAAAAUAGACGAUCUGUUAACAUUACACAAUGUACUACAGAUUACUGACUUCAAUGUAAAUUUGAUAUCAGUAACAAAACUUACAAAACAGUUAAAAUGUAGCUUCUCAUUUCAUCCUGAUCAUUGUUUGAUACAUGAUUCGAAGAUGAGAUUGAUUUCUAUGGGUAAAAGGAUCGAUGGACUUUACAUGCUGAAUGGAAGAAAAGAAGCCCUGGAACAACCAAGGUCAUAUGCUGUCAACAGAGCACCAUCAGCAAACAUUUGGCACAAGAGACUGGGACACCCAUCCCAGAUUAGAUAUGAUUUAAUUAGGAAAAACAUUGCUUAUUUACCAAAAUUGGAGAAUGUAUUUUGUAAUGAAUGCCCAAUGGCAAAACAUACUAGAUUCUCUUUUCCUUCAAGCAAUACUAAAACCUCAGGAAUCUUUGAAUUGCUACAUAUAGACCUAUGUGGCCCCUACAAAGAACCAACCCACAAAGGACAUAAAUAUUUUAUGACCAUAGUGAAUGAUUUUUCUAGGGCAACAUGGACAAUACUAAUGAGAAACAAAAGCAAUACUUAUGAAAUCUUCAAAAAUUUCAUAAUAGAAGCAAUGAAUCAAUUCAAAACGAAGAUAGGAACCAUAAGGAGUGAUAAUGAAACUGAAUUCCAAUCCCAGGAGUUCAAGAUAUUUUUAGCAAAAUAUGGCAUAAGACAUCAGUUGACAUGUCCAUAUACCCCCCAACAAAACUCCAUUGUAGAAAGAAAACAUAGACACCUACUAGAUGUAGCCAGAAGCAUAAUGUUUCACUCCCAAACACCAAUAAAAUACUGGGGAGAAUGUAUAUUAACGGCAAGCUACUUAAUAAAUAGGACACCCUCUCCUGUCAUACAAAACAAAACACCAUACCACAUUCUUUUUAACAAAGAACCGAAUUACAACAGCCUAAGAGUUUUUGGAUGCUUAUGCUAUGCAAAGAACAACAAAAUCUCAGACAAGUUUGAACCAAGAGCAGUAAAAGGAGUGUUUCUUGGUUACACAACACUGACAAAGGGAUACAAAAUCCUAGAUUUAGAAAAAGGGACAAUCUUUAUAAAUAGAGAUGUAGUCUUCUACGAAACAGUCUUCCCCUUCAAAAAUCAACAAGAAAAAGAAUUCAUAAAUCCAUCCUUAAUAGAAGACAUAAAUUACACAACAAAUAAAAGAACAGAACCAUCUGCACAAAGCAAAAGAAAAGAACCAGAACAACCACCACAAAGGCCUAACAGAGAAACAAAAAGGCCUAAAAUUCUGGAAGACUACAUAUGCUAUAAUGCAAACAAAUCAAAAUACCCAAUAGAAAAAUACAUAUCCUAUGAUAAUUUAUCAGAAAAACACAAUGCUUUCCUAACAGAAAUAAACAAAGAGAAAAAACCAAAAUCAUACACACAAACAAUAAAGGACUCAAAAUGGUGUGAUGCAAUGGAAAAAGAAUUAAAAGCAUUAAAGGAAAACAAGACAUGGGAAAUUGUAAAAUUACCAGAAGGAAAGAAAGCAAUAGGAAACAAAUGGGUAUACAAAACAAAGUUCAACUCAGAUGGAACAUUAGAAAGGCACAAAGCCAGACUGGUAGCAAAAGGAUACAACCAAGUUGAAAGAAUAGACUAUACUGACACCUUUGCACCAGUCUCUAGGAUGACAACGCUAAGGACAAUAAUAGCCUUAGCCGCCCAAAACAGAUGGCAUCUACACCAGAUGGAUGUCCAAAAUGCCUUCUUACAUGGAGACCUAGAUGAAGAAGUCUUUAUGAAAAUUCCCCAAGGCUUGAAAAUUAAAAACCAAAAGGAACAGAACCUAGUAUGCAAACUGAAGAAAUCCCUAUAUGGCCUUAAACAAGCUUAUAGAAUGUGGUUUCAUAAACUAAACAGUGCACUACAAACAAUAGGGUUUAAACAAACCAAAACAGACUAUGCACUCUUCAUAAAAGAAGAACAAAACUCAAAAACAUUCAUACUAGCCUAUGUAGACGAUCUAUUGGUCACAGGGAAUAACAUUAAUCAAAUAAACAAAACAAAAAUAGAAUUGGCAAAUUUCUUCAACAUAAAAGAUCUAGGAAAAUUAAAAUACUUCUUAGGACUAGAAUUCACCUACGCACAAACAAGAAUAUACAUGGGGCAAAGAAAAUAUGUACUAGAUCUGUUAGAAUCAACUGGAUACCUAAAUUCAAAACCAACAACUACACCAGCAAAGAAAACACAAGAAAAUAACAAAAAAGAGAAUGAUGAAAGAGAACUCGAGGAUGCCACACAAUACAGAUGCAUAGUAGGAAAAUUGGUAUACCUAACAGUGACAAGACCAGACAUAACAUACGCAGUAAACACAUUAAGCCAAAACAUGGCCAAACCAAGGCAAAAAGACCUAAAUGCAGCACAUAAAGUGCUAAGAUAUAUUAAACAAUCACCUGGUUUUGCUAUCUCCUUCUCAGGGUCCAACACUUCAGGAUUAAGAGCCUUCUCAGAC
rnacentral:lncRNA from 1 species